rnacentral:rRNA from 1 species
AACGAACGCUGGCGGCAUGCCUAACACAUGCAAGUCGAACGUGAUCCGGAGCUUGCUCCGGUGAAAGUGGCGCACGGGUGAGUAACGCGUGGGAACCUGCCCAGAGGUAAGGAAUAACCGCGGGAAACUGCGGCUAAUACCCUAUAUUCCCUUCGGGGGAAAGAUUUAUCGCCUUUGGAUGGGUCCGCGUCGGAUUGGCUAGUUGGUGAGGUAACGGCUCACCAAGGCGACGAUCCGUAGCUGGUCUGAGAGGAUGAUCAGCCACACUGGGACUGAGGCACGGCCCAGCCUCCUACGGGAGGCAGCGGUGGGGAAUAUUGGACAAUGGGCGCAGGCCUGAUCCGGCAAUGCCGCGUGAGUGAUGAAGGCCUUAGGGUUGUAAAGCUCUUUCGGCGGGGAAGAUGAUGACGGUACCCGCAGAAGAAGCCCCGGCUAACUUCGUGCCAGCCGCCGCCGUAAGAC